rnacentral:rRNA from 1 species
ACUGCUCAGUAACACGUGGAUAACCUGCCCUUGGGUCCGGCAUAACCCCGGGAAACUGGGGAUAAUUCCGGAUAACGCACAUAUGCUGGAAUGCUUUAUGCGUAAAAUGGAUUCGUCUGCCCAAGGAUGGGUCUGCGGCCUAUCAGGUAGUAGUGGGUGUAAUGUACCUACUAGCCUACAACGGGUACGGGUUGUGAGAGCAAGAGCCCGGAGAUGGAUUCUGAGACAUGAAUCCAGGCCCUACGGGGCGCAGCAGGCGCGAAAACUUUACAAUGCGGGAAACCGUGAUAAGGGGACACCGAGUGCCAGCAUCAUAUGCUGGCUGUCCAGGUGUGUAAAAUACACCUGUUAGCAAGGGCCGGGCAAGACCGGUGCCAGCCGCCGCGGUAACACCGGCGGCCCGAGUGGUGAUCGUGAUUAUUGGGUCUAAAGGGUCCGUAGCCGGUUUGGUCAGUCCUCCGGGAAAUCUGACGGCUUAACCGUUAGGCUUUCGGGGGAUACUGCCAGGCUUGGAACCGGGAGAGGUAAGAGGUACUACAGGGGUAAGAGUGAAAUCUUGUAAUCCCUGUGGGACCACCUGUGGCGAAGGCGUCUUACCAGAACGGGUUCGACGGUGAGGGACGAAAGCUGGGGGCACGAACCGGAUUAGAUACCCGGGUAGUCCCAGCCGUAAACGAUGCUCGCUAGGUGUCAGGCAUGGCGCGACCGUGUCUGGUGCCGCAGGGAAGCCGUGAAGCGAGCCACCUGGGAAGUACGGCCGCAAGGCUGAAACUUAAAGGAAUUGGCGGGGGAGCAC